UGAGGAAGGCCCUUUGGACUCGGUAUUCAGGUACAGGGUUUAAACAACCUUAAGCUGCUGUGUUCAAAAGGCAUGGUAGUAGAGCGUUAAGGAAAAGGCUGGGAUGACUAGUUAUG
rfam:Desulfitobacterium hafniense Y51 DNA, complete genome.